CCGAAUCAAGAAGUUCUAGGUUUUUAACUUGUAUUCAAGAGAAAACAUUAAAGAAGUAAAUACUAGAGACUGUAUCCACUAUUUCAAUCAAUAUACAAAGUUAAAUUCCACGAAAUACAUUUCUUCGAAAUCUUGUGUGAAUAGUGAUAAUCACGAAAUAAUUUUUAUGCAGAAGCAGUAGCAACACACGAGCUGACAGUAUCGAAUAACCACUUUUCCUGAUACUUGUUGAUUACCAAAUGCUUUAUCACACCUGAUGGCACUUACUGUUAUCGCAUGGUAAUAAUUUUAAUAUGAUUUGUGUUUAGAAUUUUAAUAUGAUUUGUGUUUAUAAAUUUAAUACAAGCAUGCACAUUUUUUUAAUUAUAUUUUUUACAAUCAUUUAGAAUAAUUUUGUUCAAGACGUACAUCGGGUUUUCAUGGAAAACAAUGUUGAACUCUUCAGACCAAUGUGUGACGAAGUCAUGUAAGAUAUAAAACAAAUUGUUCAGCAUAUUUGACGACUAAAUGUUUCUGACACAGAUCAUAGAUGCAUUCGACAUAGACAACGAUAACAAGGGAUGAUGUCGUAGAGGGAUGUGAAAAAAAUUCUUAGUUUGUAUAAUUUAAGUGUUAUAUAAAUUUUAAAUUUUGUUAAAGCUUUAAUAAAGUUGUAUAUUAGUAUUUAAAUUAAAAAUUGAAAAUUUUAAAAUUAAUUAUUUUAAAAGGAAACUAAAUUAAAUGGGGUGAUUUAGAGGUAGAAAUCUUAAUAAUAUCAAAAUGUAAUAUUCUUAAAAAGAAAUAGAGAAUUACCAAAGUUAAGAUUUUCUUAACAAAACUAUAAGAAAUUAAAAUAAUAAUAGUAGAAUAUUGAGAUUAAAAGUUGAACUAUAAAAUGAGGUCUAGAUUUAAUAAAUUUGUGAUAGUAAAUAAAAUAAUAUCAAGAAUUAUCUUCCUAUUAAUUAAACUCUUUAAUAUGUAAAACACAAAAAAAUAAAAGAGAAUGGAAACAUUAAAAGUGUCAAUUAAUACACACAUGCUUUUGGAGAAUGUUGUAGUGACAAUUCAUGACACAAAACAUAAAUGAAAACAUGGACUCCAACCCAUUCUAAAUGAGUCUAUGCUUUUGGUUUCAAAUUCAAUCUAGAAAACUCACCAACCAACUCCAAGCACCACCCAGCGACCAUUGUCAGUCGACUACUAGGUGUGAUUUAUGACAAACUCAAUCGACGAACUUUCGACCACCACUUUUGCAACUGCUGCAAACCUUGAAAAAUUAAUAAAAAUGAGUUUUUGAAAACAGUUUUUAUCUAAGUCGUUCCAUAUAUACAUUUGAUUUAGUCACAAUAAUAUUUUUUAAAAUACACAUUUUUUUCAAUCUUUUAGUUUCUUUUCUUUUGGAGUUUUUUUUAUAACUAAUAUUAUUAGAUCAUUUUUUUAAUUAUCUCUUUUAUAUUCUUUAUUUAAAAUUAAUAUUUACUUCCUUUUAGAAGAUUUUGUUUAUUUUGUUAUAUCUUUUCAAGGUGAAGAUUUUGAGUAUAAAUCAAAUAUUAAUAUAUUGAUAAUAUAAUGAAAAUUAUAAUUAUAUAUCACAUAUACACUCUGGUUUAUUUUUAGUUUAAUAAUUUUUUAUUUUUUAUUAGUCAAUUUAAUUAAAACACUUAAACGACUUAUUUGGAUUGACUUAAGAAAAAAUAUUUUUCUUUUUAAAAUAAAAAAAGACUCAUUUUUAUUUAGACCUCUAUUGAUAAGAGUAGUUUAAAAUACAUUGCACGUGUUUUGUAAAAUGACAACAAUAACUAUGGCUAAAUGUAACUCUACUUGCCUUUCAUUUUUGCAUGACCCUUUUGGUUAUAGUUAUUUUGAAACCAAUUAGAUCACUUUUAAUGUUGCUUAACUAGAACUUUUGUAAACUUCAUCCAAUUAAAUGAUUUAUUAUAUUUUGUGAGUAAUAUUCCUACUUAGACCAUUCAUGUUAAUGCAAUUGUAAUCAAAAUUAUUGUUAUCUAAUAUUAAAGUUUCUCGUUUUUACAUCAUUUUUAUUAAAAUCAAUAGAGACAAGACAUUGAAUUAGAAGUACAAAAUAUAUAAAAAAAAUAAAUUUAAAAAUUUAUACAAAAUAAAUUUAGGACGUAUAAUUAAUUAAAAAAACCAAAUAAAUUAGUUAAACCCAUAAAUUCAAAAUCAAACACCUGUAUAAAAAAUUCUAGAUUUCCAAUUCAUGCACCCUAAACACAUAGAUUUGUAAGCCCAAGCAUCAGAACCCCAUCAAAUAAACCCACAUGCAUUUAAUUUCGAACCUGCGCGUCAAACGCUCCCUUAAAAUUUAAGUGGGUGGACUUUUUCCAAUAAGUGGUAUCAAAGCUUUAGUUUCAAUUGUUUCUUGAAUUUUUAAGUUUACUUUUCUGGUUGUAACAUUGUUUGAAUUCCACGUCAUAAAAGAAUUUUUUUGAAACAAGUUGCGGUAUUGUGAAUAGUGUGAGGUGUUUGCAAGGAAGUGAAGUAGAUAUGCUAAACUUUUGAGUCCACUAAAGUUUGAUAUUGAGAAAUUUGAUGGAAGAAUCAACUUCAACUUGUGACAAAAAGUGCAAGUCAAGAAUGUGUCAAUACAAUGAGGGUCACACAAAGUACUUGAAAGGAAGACUAGAUAGUUGUGUUUCUAGGUAGUUCGGAAGAGCCCAACGACAAUUCCAGGAAAGGUUCUAAGAAUCCAGCAUGAGUGAUGAACAAUAGGAGGAAAUGGAUUUGAGAGUUGCAAAUGAAAUUCGGUAAAAUUUGGUUAAGAAUGAUUUCGCAAAUAUGCAAGGAAUUUUGACCGCCAAAGAGCUUUUGAAAAGGCUUGAAGCAAUGUAUUAGAAAAAUAGCUAGCAUCUUAAAAUUCGCACUCUACGGAUGGUGGAAGGUAUGAAAAUCUCUUGAUGCAUGUACAUAAACUUUUUUUUAGAUUUAAUUGAGGCUACUAGUAAACUAUUGUCGAAAGAAAGAAAGAUUGAAAAUAGUGAAGGAUCGUGUAAGUUUUUCUAACACUCAUGUUAAACUAACGUUCCGCUCCAACCUUUACUCUCUUAGGCUAAGAUUUAAAUUCAAGUGCCACAAAUAAUCUUUGAUUAGGAGAUGGAAUAUAUAUAUAUAAAGCCUAAGAAGCAAGGAAUAACUGUUGUAAUAUACGUAUAGAGAGUAAGUUAAUUAAAUCAAAGAAAAUAAAUACAUCCAAACGACAAUAAUCAAACUUAUAAGAACACAAGAGUUCAACCGCUCAAUAUUACAAUAGAAACAAAAACUUUACUUAAAAGCCAAACAAUACACUGUUAAUAAUUUAAAAAGCAAAAGAAAGAGCUCUAAAUGAUGAUGUGUAGUAUACACACAUUUUCAUGGCAAAGUUCGUAUACUCAGACCAUGAAUCCUUUUCCUUUUAACUCUAAAAAAAUACUCUCUAAACACGGCAAUAAAAAAAACCCUAAAACAAAUUUAUUCUCACACAAUAUUUCUUUUAGACUUCCAACUUGUUUUCCUACAACAAAAGAAAUGGGGACAUAUGAACUAACCUCAACAUACAAGAAACCUUGAAUGGAAGGAAG
rnacentral:lncRNA from 1 species